UGACGGUAUUCAACCAGAAAGUCACGGCUAACUACGUGCCAGCAGCCGCGGUAAUACGUAGGUGGCAAGCGUUAUCCGGAUUUAUUGGGCGUAAAGAGAGUGCAGGCGGUUUCUUAAGUCUGAUGUGAAAGCCUUCGGCUCAACCGAAGAAGUGCAUCGGAAACUGGGAAACUUGAGUACAGAAGAGGGCAGUGGAACUCCAUGUGUAGCGGUGGAAUGCGUAGAUAUAUGGAAGAACACCAGUGGCGAAGGCGGCUGCCUGGUCUGUAACUGACGCUGAGACUCGAAAGCAUGGGUAGCGAACAGGAUUAGAUACCUG
rnacentral:rRNA from 1 species